ensembl:lncRNA
UGCUGGCUUAGGUUCUAUACAGAGCUGUCUUUACAUUGCAUUUCUUUCUUUUUGAUAGUCUAGCUCCACAGUGAGAGCCUAUCAAACCAGUAAAUCUCGAGUGACCAUGAGCCCUGGCUUCAGCUCCCAAUGGAACAGCAGCCAACCCGCCUGGAAUACGUACUCCUUUCCAAGAGCAAGCUUGCACUAUCAAUCCCACGCCAGCUAUACCUACUGCACUGGGCACCCUGCUUUUGCGUCUAUUAUAAUAUAGAUCUGAAGCUCACACCUUGUACUUGUUAAAUGGAGAUGAUGAACUUCUUAAAUCAAGCCCUGUAGGUAAGCAUCGUGGGCUUUGUGUGGUCACACAUUUGAACCUCUGACUCACUUUGGACGGUAAUAGCUUAAAGGCUGAUGAUUGUCACUUGGAGAUUUAGUAAUGAAAAUGCACAGGAAUAUUU